AGUGACUUCUGGAAGUGACCCAGGAAGUGACAUUUUAGCUUUAGGUUUAAUUGGUUCGACUGCCUUCUCCACAAUUUGGGCGAGAAUUUCCUUUGCCUUCUCAGCAAAAGUUGUUCUGCGGACCCGUCUGGGUCAACUUUCAUGAGGGACAUUGAGACAAACAAAUGAAAUAUGGGUCAAAGUACUCUGAGCAGCUACAAAAAGACCAGUCUAUCCUGCUGGAGACAGUGGCCAUGUGAAGAAAGAGCUCUUGCAGUAUGAAAGACCACAUGGAAAGAGAGGCCACAUGGAACCAACAGUCAGCAUCUUGGUUUCAGACACGUGAAGAAAUUCAUCUCAGACUGUGUAUCCUAAAUCAGGCACUUGCUGAAUCCAACUACAUGAGUGAGACCAGUUGACAACACAUGGAGCAGACAUGAGCUGUUCUCAGUGAGUCCUACACAAAUUCCUGACUCACAACACUGUGAGCAAUAAAAUGGUUGUUAUUUUAAGCCACUGAAGUUUGCAGUGAUUUCUUACAUAGGAAUAGAUAAAUGAAACACAAACAUUGAUAAUUUGCAUCUUCUAUCUGUUUUAUGACUAGUCUUAUUGGAAAUUACCAGUUUAUUUCUGCCAUGGUUAGAAAACAAACUCUGAAAUUUUGAUACUUUAAAAUUUUUUUGAGACUUACUGUGCCCAGAAUAUAGUCUAUCUUGGUGAAUGUUCUGUGAGCACUAGACAAGAAUAUGUAUUCUGUAGUUAUUGAGC
rnacentral:antisense_RNA from 1 species